rnacentral:lncRNA from 1 species
AGAUCUUGCAGUGGAACUUAGGAAACAGACUGAAUAAGCAUUGGUGUAAAUAGUUAAAGGUUUUUCUAAAUCAGUAGACAUCUACUGAUUCAUACCAGAUGUACUGGCCGAGAAUUUCAAUGCAAGUCAACAUCAAUGAGGCACAAGAGACUUUGCUGUUUUUCCAACCCUCACGUCGACCUAUAGGUAUAGGUCCUUCAGGCAUUCAAACCGAUGCAGUUGAUGAAGAAACAGCAAAUAUCAUCAAUCAUGCUGUUACAAAGUCAAAUACAGUGAAGCAGGAGCCUUCCCAACAUCUAAUGGCCACUGCAUCAAAAGCUACAAUAAACAUAUUUACGGACAUGCAAUUUAUCAUUUACAGUAGCUAUGGUACCUAUG